rnacentral:rRNA from 1 species
UACGGGGGGGGCAAGCGUUGUUCGGAAUUACUGGGCGUAAAGAGCUCGUAGGCGGUUUGGUAAGUCGGAUGUGAAAUCUCCAGGCUCAACCUGGAGGGGUCAUUCGAUACUGCCAUGACUAGAGUUCGGUAGGGGUGUGUGGAAUUCCUGGUGUAGCGGUGAAAUGCGCAGAUAUCAGGAGGAACACCGGUGGCGAAGGCGGGUCUCUGGGCCGAUACUGACGCUGAGGAGCGAAAGCGUGGGGAGCGAACAGG